UGCGCAGUAAAAUCACGUUUUUUACAGCCACAGAGCAAAGGCAGUUCUCAUCUUCUUCCACUUUUAUUUCACAUCUUUACAAUGUCUGAAGACGUCGAGCAAUAUGUCCAGAAGCUCAAGGUAACAGAGCUACGUGAGGAGCUCAAGAAACGAGGCCUUGGGCUGGGCGGGGUAAAGGCUGUGCUGGCCCAAAGGCUACAAGAAGCAAUGGAGGCUGAAGGAGAGACUGGUAAUCACAAGGAACCUGAAGAACCUGCUGAUGAAGAAGGUGAUUCAGAAGUUGAUAUUGACAGAGAUGCCAAUGAGCCUGCUGUUCCUCAAAGUGACGAAGCUCCUGUUAAUGAUACCCCUGACCAAGAAGAAGAAGAAGAAGAAAAAACUGAGGAUGAUGAAGCAGAUGUGAAAGAAGAAGACGAAGAAGGAGGAGGUGGGAAUGACGGUGAAGAAGAAGAAGAAGCUGUUGCUAAUGAUCAAGAUGAUGAUAUAAAGCAAGAGGAAUCCGAAGAAGAAUCACAAGCGACAAACGAUGACGAACUAGUUACUGUGGAACCUCAAGAAAGUAUCAAAGAAGAAACAAAAACUGAAGAGCCAAUGGAAGAACCAACAGUAGAUGAAGAACCUCCUCCAGCCGAAGAACCUGUUACAUUACAAGAAGCUAAAGAAGAGGAACCAGAAGUGAAACCAUUAGCAGACGUACCUGAUGGAGUAACAUUUGUUGAUGAUUCUUCAGCUCAACCAAAGGAAGAGGAAUCAAUGGAGUGCAGUGGAGGGGCAUCAACACAAGAUGGCGAGGAAGCAAAGAGUGAAGCAAUGGCAGCAGAGUCUGGAAUGGAAGGGAACAAUGAAGAGAAACCUAAUCAAGAUGUGGACAUGAAAGGAUCAGAAGACAGAGGAUUAAAGAGAAUAAGAGAGGAGUCUGAGGGCUUGGAUGGAGAUAGCAAGAAAGAAGAGACAAAGGUUGAUCCACAAACUGUGCCUGAUCCAGAAUCAGUUGCUGAUUGGAGUGACGAGUCAAUAAAAGAGAUAUGUAGUAGUCUCUUUCUGCUACCUGAAGAUACUACUGCUAGUGUCACAUUGAAUCCUAGAAAGUCUGAUCUUCACUUUAUCAUAUCGUCUGAUGGUCUAGGAGGUGCUCCACUAACUGAAGGAGGCUUUGCUUAUUUGAGGGCAAGCUCUAAAGCAACUUGGGGCGUCAAAUCAGGAUCUUAUUACUUUGAAUGCAAAAUUGAGGAGAAACUGCCUGUUGAUAUUGAGGAAGAAGAUGAGAAUGGAGGAGGAGAGGGCGAGAUAGUACGAAAGACUGAGCCGUCACACAAUGUAAGGGUCGGCUGGUCGUCCCUGGACAGCGACACGAUUGCUGGAGAUGAUAAAAACUCAUUUGCUUACGAUAGCUCGGGGAAGAAGGUAACACGCUCCAACUCUGAAGACUAUGGAGAGACUUUUGAUGAAGGAGAUGUCAUUGGAUGCUAUGUGAAACUGACUGAUGAUUCUAGGACCAUCCUAUUCACAAAGAAUGGAGUCAGUCAGACUGAAGCAUUCAAUUUAUUGGAAUUAAACUCAGAGUCGAUUCUCUUCCCUCACGUGUCUACCAGGAAUUAUCGUGUCUCCUUUAACUUUGGAGGAAACCCUGAGCCUUACUAUCCUCCUCCUGAUGAGACCUACCGUCCAUUACAAGAGGCAGGAGAGGAAGAGAGAGAGUGUGUACCCAACAAGCCGUUGUCUAAGAACGAGUGUGAAGUCAUCAUGAUGGUUGGUCUGCCAGGCUGCGGGAAGACACACUGGGCCUCAAGACAUGCCUCAAAGAAUUUUGAUAAGGCUUUUAGGAUAAUUGGCCCCUAUCAGCUAUUGGAGAGAAUGCUGUCAAAGAAGAGAAGAUCAAUGACUAAUUGGAAUGAGUUUGUUUUAUUGACUGCUCCAAUGGUGAACACAUUGUGCUUAUUGGCAUCGAACAUGCCUGGAAAUUAUAUUAUUGAUCAGAUUAAUGUGUAUGCUGACUCACAAAAGACCAAAAUGAGUUACUUUGAAGGGUUUUCCCGCAAAGCGUUGGUAGUGAUACCACCUCAUCACGAGCUGAGGAAGAGGAGGGUUGACAGGAUAAGGGAAGGAUGCUGCAUGGAAGUACCUCAAAAUGUCAUUGAUGCAUUCAAAGGUUGGAUCUUACCCUCUUCUCUACUAGUUUGAUUGAGCUACAGUUUAAGGUAAGGCAGCAGUGACUACUGUCUGGACUCAGCUAACUGCCACUUCCUUCGAUAGUCGAAUAUGUACAUGUACAAGUGUUGAAAAGCAUAUUAGAGAGGAUAUGAUCGAAUGGCUUUUAUAAAAACAGCUUUAUUUUAUAAGUAUAUACAGUCUAUAGUAUACAGCAUUAUACUGUACUUAGCAUAUUAAUAAAUGAAAUAACAGAAUUUGCAACCCAUUGGUUCUCUGCUGAUCAUCAUUUUGUUACUAGGUAAGUCAUUAAUGUAUGUUUUGUUAUCACUUCAGUUCAUCUAAUGGCUACUGGAUACAAAGGAAAGAAGUAUUAUGUGUUGAAAUUUUUGAAAAUAGGGAAGAUAUCUGUACAGCUAUAUAGUAUACGAAAAGAUAGUUUCCACAUAGUUCCCCAACAGCUUUAAAACCUGGUAAUAAUGAUGAUGGAGUUGCAUGUAGACUAGAGAUCUUAAGAUUAUAUCCAUUUAACAGCCACAGCAAUACAGAAACCAGUCUUAAGCAAUAAGCAUCUAAAGGCAUAUUUUACAUGUAUUAACCGUAUAGCGAUUUUUUGAGGAUAAUGAAUUUCUCUUGAAAAUCAGUUUCAUACUGUAAAAGAUGGCAGAAAAGUGGAAAUUUGUGAAAUUUAAUUCUGUGAACCUCCAGAUACAAGUCAUUCACAAAAAUUACAUUCGUGAAAUAAACCUGCUAUACGGUACAUUGCGGCCUCUACCUUUCAAUGAAAAAUUUUUAUGAAUGAUCUUUUUUAUUUUAUGAAGCAAGUGAGCAACUUACUUUACUGAGAGAAUUGAGAGAUGUUUCAGAUGUACAACUAGAAAUGUUGCCUUCAGUUUGCAAACUCAACGACCUGUAAAUAUUACAUGCACAUGCUUAGAUAAAUUGACCUUUGCUUGAUUCUUGUUGAUGUUUUGUGCAUCUAGAGUGUAUUGUAUGUAUAGAGUUGAGAGUAUAAAGGCUAGCUGCCAUACACUAUGAAACUUUAUUUCAUGAAGCAACUCUGUACAGGAGUCAAUGGAGCUACAGACUCCAUUGCUUCCUGUAUAAAAGAUGUUUCAUGAAACAGCUUUAAUGAGUGAUUGAGAGGUCCUUAAUUCUUCUCUGACUUGGAAUUAAACAACACAACUGGAAACAUGGAAAUGGUGGUCAUGUCAUUCAGUCGUCCGUGUACUGUGCGCCAAUUUCCAUAUACCAAGAGAGGAUGACGGCGUCUUUGAUGAGAUUAAUUUCUCUGAGAUAUAUGGGCCAGCCUCUGAUAAGAUAGUACGUCAGUACAAGGACGAUGCCCUGGGUCUACCCACUCCUUAUAUACCAUCAAAGAGACCACGCUAUGAGUCAAAGGGAAGGAGCUAUAGCUCACCUCGUCCUAAGCCAAGUCCUUAUGGGUAUGGAGCCUAUGGAUCUUCAUCUCGUUAUUAUCCACCUCCCAAUCGUGGUUAUUAUGCUCCUCCUCCCCCACCUCAUUAUCGUAGUUAUUAUGCUCCUCCUCCUCCUCCUCCUGGUGCUGGUGGGUGGGGCCACAUGAGAGGGCGUUACGGUCACCCCCCACCACCGCCUCCUCCUAACCCUCGCUAUGGGGCACCACGCCCGUACUACAGUAACAGAGGCAGUGGUGGGUAUUAUAAUCGCUAUUGAAAACCAACCAACUAACUCUCUUCCCCUAUCUUUUCUUUAUUUUGUUAUAAUUGUGCACAUUUUUGAACUUUACAUAUUGUUAUGAUGCAUGCAUACAUACACCAUCAUACCUUGGCUUUCUUUGUUUUAGAUAAGAUAGUUAAUUCAUUGUGUCUCCAAACAACAGUAAACCAUUUAUGGUUGGACUCAUUACAUUUAUUUCAAGAUCUAUAAGUUUA